AGCGGCGCGGGCUCGCUGGGACCGCUGAACAGCGGGGUCCAGUCUGGGGGCGUCAGUGACCGCCGUGUAGGGUGGGGGCGCUGGGGUCGACGGGAGAACUACUGAGUUGGGGGCUACAGAGCUGGGAUGUCCGCCCCCGGGCUGCGCCCAGCGUGGGGGGAGGGGGCGGCGCGACUCCCCCCCUACCCCCUUUGGCUUGGGCUGAGGGGAGGGGCUGCGCUCGGCCAGAGCAAUGAGCACAGUGCCUGGCGCGCAGCGAGCCCUCAAACUAUCCCGGCCUUGAUUGCAACUCCAGCGCGGGGAGAAAACAGGAAAGGGAGUGAUAACUGGGCUGACAGAGGCUAACUGCCAUUAUUAAGCAUCCAGGCUGGCCAGGCGCCGUCACCACCCUUUCCUUCCCGCGGUGGCAGCCUUGGCACACAGGGCGCACGUGUGUCCUAGGAUUGUGAAAGAGGCAGAGCUGGGAUGCGAACCUGGGCCAUUUGGCUCUUGCCGGCUGCGCUAGGCUGAGGAAAACGCGUUCUUGAACCAGCCUUUGAAGAUUGAGAAGGUUUGAUGGGUGGAGAUAACUGAGCGAGCUCUGCCCCAGUUCGCUGUAAGACCUUGGGAAGUCGUUUGAUCUUUGAGGGCCAUACUUUCCUCCGACGUGAAAAUAGCUGGACUUACGAAGACUGAGAACUAAUAUGUUCACCUUCUAGCAAAUUACUGGAAGGAACAUGAGAAAUAUCCAUCUACAAGUUCUGACUGAACUACUUCUCGCCACAAAACAUAUCCCGAUAUGUCCACUUUUCUGCAUUCCCACUGCUACCAUCCCGGUCCAGUUCAUGACUGGCUUUCUCCCAGACUACUCCAAAGACCUCCUAAAUCACUGGCCUAGGGUGACUCUUCGACCAAAUGAUGGAUAUCUACUGAAGCAAAGAGCCAGGUGUGUGAUUAGGGCAGAAAUGUUUAUAUAUGCUGAGUGAAAUUUUGCUAGCUGACUUAUACCCUAGCAAUUACUGAUUUGAGUGGGGAAUAUUUAAGACCCUCUGUGGUUCUGCAACUAUGUGUUGAGGUGCUCUGAGGCAUGGCAGGGACCUCUCAGGGGUGCUGAGGGAUAUUUUAAAAUCUAGUGUGUUGGUUUGCCGGGCUCCCCUAACAAAUUACCAGGACUGUAUGGCUUCAACAACACAGUCCUGGAGGCUAGCAGUCCAAGAUCAAGGUGUCAGCAAGUUUCAUUUCUUCCAAAGCCUCUCUCUUUGGCUUGCAGAUGGCUGUCUUCUUGCUGUACCUGAAGUGGUCUUUCUUUUGUGUGGGCAUAUCCGUGUUCUAAUCUCCUCUUAUAAGGGCACCAGUCAUAUUGGAUUAGGACCCACCCAUAUGACCUCAUUUUACCUUAAUUACCUCCUUAAUAGCCCUGUCUCCAAAUACAGUCAUAGUCGGAGGUCCUGGGGGUUAGGACUUCAACAUGAAUGAAUUUGAAGAGGGGACACCAUUCAGCCUGUAACACGGUGCCGCCUGAUGCUGCACAGACUGCUGGCUUGAGGCAGUUUCAGCGCUGGCUCACACUGCAUUCCUUCUGAUAAUGUCUUAUAUUUGCCAAGCCGAGGUUUUGGAGGUUGUUGUGAUAAAAAGCAAGUACCGUGUGUAAGUCAAUAUGGAAGAGGAAAAGAGAGUGGGGUGUCCAGUCUGAUUUCGAGGUUUGAGACAGUGUGCGGCGCCCAAAAGGCACUAAAUUGUUAGGACAUAAACACUUACUGAGUUUGGGGCUUCCCUGAUGGCGCAGUGGUUAAGAAUCUGCCUGCUAAUGCAAGGGACAUGGGUUGGAGCCCUGGUCCAGAAAG